rnacentral:rRNA from 1 species
UACGUAGGGGGCAAGCGUUGUCCGGAAUCAUUGGGCGUAAAGGGCGCGUAGGUGGCGCGGUAAGCGUGCGGUGAAAGCCUGGGGCUCAACCCCGGGUCGGCCGUGCGAACUGCUGGGCUUGAGCACUGUAGAGGCAGGCGGAAUUCCGGGUGUAGCGGUGGAAUGCGUAGAGAUCCGGAAGAACACCGGUGGCGAAGGCGGCAUCCUGGACCGACACUGACGCUGAUGAGCGAAAGCCAGGGGAGCAAACGGGG